UGCAUGAAGAUCGUUGCGGAGUUUCGUCAGAUUCAUUUUCCUGGGCAGGGGCCUUCACUUGCAUUUUUGCAGCCGUCAUCUCCGUGACCUGCACAUUCCAUUCUCACGUGCUGCGUUUGCAGCACCCUCGCCACUUAAAAGGAACCCAUGUCGUCGACUGGUGACGACGAUGUUUGUUUCAUCGUUAUAUGUGUAUUCAUGCUUUGCUCAGCACACAGUUGGGUUCCGUCUGAUCAGAACUCUCAAAAUUGCACCCUAACGUGUGCCUCGAUGAUUCUACGAGUAUUUCUUCGUCAGGGUCCUCCCUGUUUUGAGAUAUUCGUUUACAUUCACACACAUUCACUGACACAGCCACAACAUUGUCCGACGGACGACCUAUGGGCAUUCAACUCCACAUUUUUCUCCAUUGAACCGUGAAAAUCCACGCCCUUAUGGAGGCUGCUUUUUGUUUCGGUUUGUUGCUCCUUUUUGUCCUUCAUUCCGCACCUUUGGUGCCAAGUCUUUGUGAGAAUCGGUAUCAGAACAUAGUGUUGUCUGAAGGAUAAGCUACAGUUUGAGCUUGAUUGAAAAUGGUUUUUAAGUAUGGAAUAUGGCUUGCUCAUGACCUAAGCCGCCUGCCUGCAUACACCUAUCUGACUGCACUUAUUAGUAUUAAUGGUGGUGCACCAAGACUGUGAUCUGUUACAUUGAUGAGAUUUGAGUUGGGAAUGUUAGGAUCGUCAGAGUGACGGUUAUUGAGGGAAGCGUUGAGAGAGAAGGAGGUAGCGAGGGUGUGGGGCUCAUUGGUGGAGCUUGGGGCUGGAAAGGGUCGUUAGAUGGGUACUGUCACAUGAAUCCUUGUCUUUGUCACCAUCAUGCACGGAUUUGGUGGUGAGCACCUGGAACAUCAAUUCUUGGGUUGAACUUCGUCAGCUGCCGGUUGGUUGGACUUCACCGAAGCCAGAUUGAAUGAUUCUUGCGUUAAGUGUUUUGAAUGUUGUCAACUGGGUCAAUGGUUGUUUGAGAGAGGGACUGUGGAGUGGAUUUGAUCUGCAGGUUUCGUGGUACUCUUGAGGAUGAGACAAGACCAAGAGAUAGUGGGAGAUAGGUGUUAGAUUCGAAAUUCGACGACGGAAGGGGGAUCAGCCCUUUGGAGGGCCAAGUAGGAUGUGAAAACAACUUGGAGUAUUGCGGGUCUCAAGUCUAGGCCGUUUCCAUGGCCGCAGCAGCUUUCGUGCUGAGAAAUUUUCUCUUACCCACACUUCUAGCAUCCGUGGCACCACAAGUGUUAUACCCAACUACUGCCUCACUGACAUCUGCCUCGUCUGAUCCACCCAUCAGCUGUAGUCUUCCGAGUGCCUCAAUGGUUUCCCCUAACCACUGCAAUGCUGACGAUGACCAGAUCAUGAGAAAGCAGACACAAAGUUGUCAAAGUUUAUUGACAAUGGUGGAGGAUGCUCCUACGUCUGAGUGUUGCACUGGUCUGAACAAUAUUGCUUUCAAUCGCAUUGCUUGUGUCUGCAAGAAGACCUUCUACCCACCCACAGCUCACAAUGCGUCCCGGCAGCUGGAUCUCCCUUAGAUCUGUGGUGUGAUAACAAAUUUGUGCGGCCAGUGUCCCAUGUUCAUAAUUUCAAGUGCGAACGGAGGACCUCUUUCUUCACUCCGUGUUACUUCGUGAGACGUAUACAUAUCGCGUGGACGAAACGUCAACACCUUCCAUAGUCGGUGCGAUUUCAAUGGCGGUCAUUUUUGGAGUGUUGCUGCUGACCUUCGCUGUUUUCUUCAUCCUAAUGCUUGUCAAGAAACGAAGGGAGAAAAACUGUCCUCGGGUACUCUUUCAAGCUCCUCCGCCCGGUGGUGCGUUUUGAGUUAAGGUAACGUGUACAUCAAAUGGGCAAGUAAAGCUCCAUGCUGUUGCCAGUGAAUUCGUAACUCUAUCGCGUGAAACAAAAUUUCUUUGCUGAAAAGAAUGUGUGUCACUGGAAGUCCAACAGAAUAUCAAUCAAGAUCUAAUCUCUCGUCGCGGAUCUACAGCCUGGUAGCCUGCACUGCGUCCUUAGUCCGCCGGAUCGUUUCCCCGAGGGAGUGUGCGUCCGGGUAAUGUACAGCGAUGUUGUGAUUGAAGACAAGUUUUUCACAAUGCAGCGCAUAGAUGUUUUGUUGAGGAGAUCCAUUUUCUUUAUAGGAUCGAUCCAGUUUUCACCUCAUCACCGAAUUUUUUCGGUGCAACGAUUAUUGCCCAGCGGCCAACUUUCUGUUGGUAAUCCCUCUUUUGAUCCUCUCAUUAAAGACAUUCAGGACAUUUUAUGUACCGUGUACGAGUUAUCGAGCAUAUUGAAUGCCUCGAAUGGUCAAGAACGGGACAAAGAUCUGCAGGAAGCCUGGCAGCUUACUGUAAUUCAUCCUCCGUUCUUAAUCCCACUCUCCACUUCCCGCCUGGAGGUUUGAAACAUCAUUGGUUAUGAUAUCGUGGGCUUUGCAUGGAGCUCUCCAUCUAUUCCACCGCCAAGCCCCCUCUUUUUUACUUGUAAUUACCAAUCAUCCUGGUGUUAACCAAGUGUGAUACUUGUUCGUCAUGGUAACCGACAUAAAUUACACAACGGAGAAUAGGUUCAAACCAAAAAAAAGAAAGAAAAAAAAACCCUUAUAUUACUCACGCUGACUGUCGGGUGAUAGUGCUGAUAUUCUGGUACUGUGAGAGCAUAACUUUGAGGCGAUUUGAGGAUGCGCAGUUGAGCUCAUUAUCACAGCAAGAUCUGUUGACAAGUCUAUCAAGUAAUUGAAAUUCAACGUCUGAAUCAAGUGAUUGUUUGCACAUCCCAACGUCAUCAUUUUCGGUGGAUCAAUGACGAUGGACUUGGUUCUUCACUUGGAAUGCUGCUAUAACACUUUCUUCUUUGCGCUCUCUUCUACAACAGUUUUCAAUAAAUGAACAGGAAACUACCUCCACUGCAGUCACCGCGACAUGCACUAUUCCAUCAGCUGCAACAUGUUAACCAGAACUCUAGUCGUAAGUCUUCUAACCAACGAUGAGCGAGUCAGGCGGGCAUUCAAAGCAGUUCUUAGCUCAAAAACUGCACCGAGCGAGUGUGCUUGUUAUUAUUAUUACAGAAUAUGGACGAUGGAUCUUUUGCAGCAACUGAUUGAUCCAGAACGUCCACAAGGAUAUUAUUCUACAUCCUCCAUAGAUAUUAUUUCCUUCUGACAGAUCAAGGCCAGGAUGCAACCGCUAAUAUUAUUUCCAAGACACACAGAAAGGAUUAUGCACGAGUGAGCAGCAGUAGCAUCCUGAAACAGACUUAACCAAUUAGUGACCGCAGCGUUGCACUCUAAUUUACGAGGGCUCCGCGUUCGGAACGCUUCAUAGAAGUGGGUCUGGUCCAGGUUUAGAACGAGGUUUGGGGUUUAGGAAUUAGGAUUUAGGUGGGUUGGAACUUUGUAUGGAAGUGGGUCUGGUCCAUACCCUCAUUCCACGGCACGUGCAGAAUAACUCAUUCAAGUCGCUGUCAGCACCCUCCGCCGCCACGUGAACCUUAUCGUUGACAAUUAAUGUGAUAAACAUGUUGUUAGCA